rnacentral:rRNA from 1 species
CAGUCGAGGGGCAGCGGGGUAGUGCUUGCACUACUGCCGGCGACCGGCGCACGGGUGAGUAACACGUAUGGAACCUGCCCGCAGCAGGGGGAUAAGCGGAAGAAAUUCCGUCUAAUACCGCGUAACAACGUUGGGAGGCAUCUCCCGAUGUUUAAAGAUUUAUCGGCUGCGGAUGGCCAUGCGGCGCAUUAGCUAGUCGGCGGGGUAACGGCCCACCGAGGCGACGAUGCGUAGGGGUUCUGAGAGGAAGGUCCCCCACACUGGUACUGAGACACGGACCAGACUCCUACGGGAGGCAGCAGUGAGGAAUAUUGGUCAAUGGCCGAGAGGCUGAACCAGCCAAGUCGCGUGAGGGAAGACGGCCCUACGGGUUGUAAACCUCUUUUGUCGGGGAGCAAAGCGAACCACGUGUGGUUCAUUGAGAGUACCCGAAGAAAAAGCAUCGGCUAACUCCGUGCCAGCAGCCGCGGUAAUACGGAGGAUGCGAGCGUUAUCCGGAUUUAUUGGGUUUAAAGGGUGCGCAGGCGGAGGUGCAAGUCAGCGGUCAAAUUGCGGGGCUCAACCCCGUACUGCCGUUGAAACUGCAUCCCUUGAGUGCGCGAGAAGUAUGCGGAAUGCGUGGUGUAGCGGUGAAAUGCAUAGAUAUCACGCAGAACUCCGAUUGCGAAGGCAGCAUACCGGCGCGCAACUGACGCUCAUGCACGAAAGCGUGGGUAUCGAACAGGAUUAGAUACCCUGGUAGUCCACGCAGUAAACGAUGAACACUAACUGUUCGGCCAGAAUGAUGGCUGAGUGGUACAGCGAAAGCGUUAAGUGUUCCA